ACUACGGGUGGCAGCAGUGAGGAAUAUUGGUCAAUGGGCGAGAGCCUGAACCAGCCAAGUCGCGUGAAGGAUGACGGCCCUACGGGUUGUAAACUUCUUUUGUCAAGGAGCAAUUGGGUCCACGCGUGGGCUUAGCGAGAGUACCUGAAGAAAAAGCAUGGGCUAACUCCGGCCCAUCAGCCGCGGUAAGACGGAGGAUGCGAGCGUAAUCCGGAUUUCUUGGGUUUAAAGGGUGCGUGGGCUGAAUAUAAAGUCAGCGGUAAAAAUUCGGGGCUCAACCCCGUCGUGCCGUUGAAACUGGUUUUCGUGAGUGAGUGAGAAGUAUGCGGAAUGCGUGGGGUAGAGGUGAAAUGCAUAGAUAUCACGCAGAACUCCGAUUGCGAAGGCAGCAUACCGGCGCUCAACUGACGCUCAUGCACGAAAGUGUGGGUAUCGAACAGGAUUAGAUACCCGAGUAGUC
rnacentral:rRNA from 1 species